UUUCUAGUGGUUUGGCUUUCUUCUAUUGUACUUCUAAAUUUGGGUUCUUUUUUUCUCACUCAUCUUUUCUGGUCUGCCAACUUACAUCCCGCAACUCCUGUGAAUUAAAUCUUAGAAAAUGAUGCUUCCAAGAAAUUUUCUGUAUUUAUUUGUACAAGGGUUCAUGAGUGCUUAUGUUUGAGUUAUUGGAUGCUCUCACAUAGCAGGUGCUCAAGAAUCCUCCUUUAAUAGAAUUUCAGAAUCAUAAAAACAUGUUUUUACAUUGUUAGACAAUACCCCCAAAUCCUAGGGCCAGGCAUAUAUCUCUUUUCUUCAGGAUAAAGGAUGCAGGAAGAAUAUAGAGGAGGAGAACUCUAGAAUUUAGAGAUAAUAAAUAGCUUGAUGCAAGAUAUUUAAGAUUCAUAUUGAUUUGUCUUCAUGGCUACAUAUUAUUUUGAGUACUCAUGACAGUGGUUUUCAACACUUAUUGUAACCUGUAACCCCCUCUCCCUUAUGCAAUAUAAUUCAUAUCUCCAAUUUAUAAAGCAUAAAGUAGAGCUCCUUUAGUUGCUGCAGCAUCUUUAUGGCCCCUUUGAACUUUUUGCUGUAUUCCUGAGGUUCAGCUCACCUAUAAGGCUUUGGGAUAUUCCAUACUCAACUCUUAUUGACCAAUGGAAAUAGUGAAGAAUCAUCAGAUAGUUAAAAUGGUAUUUAAUUCAGACUGUCGAAUAUAUGCUUGGAAUCAUUUUAGAUACUGUACAAAACAGAAAAUUAUAAAACCUACUCAUUUCUUUGCAGGUGCUAAUUUGAGAGACAAAAUAAACACACAUGAAAUAAGAGUGAACAGUCAAGGCGGUUGAUAAUUAAGCAUAGCUACAUCACUAUUCUGGGAUUGUUGCUACUGUUACUGUUAUGUGUGCUGCAAAGCCCACGUUAACAAGCAGCAGAAAAGGAAACCGAGGCUCAGGAAGGUCAACUUCCUUGCCCAUAAACACCAGAAUAGAAUUUUGAAUCCAAUGAAGUCUACACUUUUGAUUAUUACACUUUGCAGGCAUUCAGCAUUGUCCAUAUACCACAAGAAGGCAGAUGCCGUGGUCCAAGGAAGAUGGAGGAGCAGCCUAACUCCAAACAGCAGAUCCUACCAACUAAUCUGGAUCUGUGUCCAGUUACGGAAACUGAGGAGGAUUUUCUGUAAGAGUAGAGGCUCUGCACAAAGCACACAUGGUUGAUCAGUCCAUGCAGCCUUAUCUAGAGACACGGUCCUGAUGUCAUCUUGACAGGAGUCCAAGAAAGGAAUAAGAGUGAAGGAUCACGAUAUGGCACCUUGGGAAGCACUAGAAAGGAGGAAAGAAGGCCUAAAAGUGAGACUGAGAAAGAAUGGUCGUCCAGCGGUGCCCCGAGGGGUAGGGACAGACAUUCUUACAAGUUCAAGGUAGCUGGUAAAGCUGGUAGCAUACACACAUACCUUAGGUCUUAUUGACUUAAAGAUAUCUAGUCACAUCAGCCACUUGUAGAGUCUGAUGAUAUUUCAGUUAGUAAAUGAGUUAUUUUACAUUGGGAGAGGAUAGUGGGCAGGGCAGUAAUAUUCCUAAGUAAGAACAUCUCUCCUAUGGUUUAAGUUCUCAUGCUGGUGAGUCUUAAACAAGAAAGAGCAUGCCAUUAAUUUUAACUUUAAAUUCCUAUACAGAUGGUGCUCACAGAUGUUUCCAACAACAGACUUCUAAAAAAAAUAACAAUUUUACUUGAAGUUUAAACAUAAAUAUGCACAGACUUUGUAGUGCUUUGGCAUACCUCUUGUUUUUAAAAAUAGCACUACCCUUUUACCUGCUUGGGGUGAGUGAGCCUUUGUUUAGUUACAAUUUU